rnacentral:rRNA from 1 species
UAAGGAAUAUUGGUCAAUGGACGAAAGUCUGAACCAGCCAUGCCGCGUGAAGGAAUGACGGCCCUCUGGGUUGUAAACUUCUUUUAUCUGGGACGAAAAAAGGGAAUUCUUUCUCACUUGACGGUACCAGAGGAAUAAGCACCGGCUAACUCCGUGCC